UGCACCAGGAGAGGUGCCCACUGAGGAGGCGCUGACAGAUAUCAGAGCUUUUACCUGGAUGACCUGCUGAGUUAAAGCUCAGUGUUGGAAAGUUACUGUGUGCGUGAGAAAGUGUGGCAGCUGCCGUGUCGGUGAAGAAGACUCACCUCCUGCUGAAGAUCCUCAGGCCGGUGAAGGUCUUGCUGGUGUGUUGGCAGCGGGGGGCGGGGGCCACAGAGGGCAGCUCGGAGGCUGGGGAGGACGAGGUGGAGGAGGCGGCAGAGGUGGAGGUGAAGUGCCCCUCUCCUCCAUCCUGCAGCGAGGUGUGCUGGGCAGGCUGCUCCUCCUCCGGCUGCUGAUCCAUGUCCUGGCGGAGCUCCCUCUCUGCCUCUCUGCUACUUCUUCUCUCACAAACUCAGCUGGUCCGAGGUCAGCGCAGAGCUCACGCAGCCCGAGCAGCAGUCAGCCAUUCUGACAGCUUCCCUCCUCUGCAGCAGCUGCUCAAACUUUUAGUUUCUCAAAGCGGCAGACACAGGAAGUACAGCUUCAGGUCUACCGUGUGCCUCAGCUAAGCUUCAGUUUACAGCAGGAAGCAGCAGCAGCAGAAGCGUUCAAAACAAAAGCAACUCUUCUGUGUUACAGCCUCAAGGUUUUACAUAAAGAUGGUGAACCAGCCCACACCAGGAGAGAGAGAGAGAGAGAGAGAGUACCGCAGUAAAGCAGAGGUCACACGGCCGCUGCGAGACCCACGCAGAGCACUUCACCACGUGCACGUGGCGGCUUCAUCCCCUGGGUUCCUGCUCCGAGGUGGAACUGAAGGAUGAGCCCGGGUUAUUUUUGAAAGCCAAUUAAAAUGGAGGUGCAGCGGCCAAAAGGACGGGUGCUGAGAUCGAGUCCUCUCCCUUAAAAAGAUCCGUCAAACAUGUUUUAAAUAAAACACCCUGCUCUGAGUA